rnacentral:rRNA from 1 species
GUGAAGUGGGGGCCGGCGGGCGGGGGAAGAUGAUGGGGGGAAGGUUGAGGCGGAAUUACUGGGAGGAAAGCGUGCGGAGGUGGGUCGGUAAGGCUGUCGUGAAAGCCCCGGGCUCAACCUGGGAAUGGCGAUGGAUACUGGCGGGCUAGAGUGCGGUAGAGGAGAGUGGAAUUCCCGGUGUAGCAGUGAAAGGCGUAGAGAUCGGGAGGAACAGCAGGUGCGAAGGCGGCUCUCUGGACCAGCACUGACACUGAGGCACGAAAGCGUGGGGAGCAAACAGGAUUAGAUACCCCUGUAGUC